GGAAUAACACAUUCCCCUCAGUUAAUGAUCCCAUUAAAAUAAUAAAGUUGCAUCUCAAUAUAAUGUUCUGAAAUUGAUAUUGUUACUUGUAGCUGAAAGCUGUGAAUUUGCUGUCUGUUCCUGAAUGCAGUUUUAAGGAAACACCAGAAGCACAGACUCCAUAUGUCGGCAUCUAGCACCACCAAGUGUUCAACUCAGUUUGUCUGCAGCAGAGCUCAAGAAAACACGUGUCCUUUCCUCUGUGCACCAUCGCAAGGCACAAUCUGUGAUGCUAGAAGCCUCCCAUUGCUUUUAAAUAGGCCCACCCAAGAGAAUCUUGGAGGACAAUACUCUGUUUGAAGAGCUGCCGUGUGACCAGGAAUUUGCCCAUCAACAGCUCCCACCAAGACACCAAACUCUGCAAGCACACAGGUCGCUACAGCACCUCAUUUCCCUUAGCAUGGAAAGAGACCACACGACUGUUAAGUUAAAAAUGGUUUACUCACAAGCUCUUCAGAGCAAUAAUGAAAUCAAAUUCAAUAAAGAAGCAGUAAGCACAGCAAGAAAACAAUGAAUUAAAACAGCCAUAAUCAAUACGCAGUGAACCUCAAAAGCUCUGUAGAAGAAAACUGAAUGUCUGGAGCCUAAUGACAGUGCAAUGGAACUCACUAGGAAGUGAUUUCCAUAAUUUUGACUCCAGUUUGGGAAAGGACAGUUGGGAAGCCAACUGGAAAUCAGUGAAGAUUGACUCAAACCCACAUUAUACCUACAUUAUAUGGUCCAUGCAGUCCAGCUCAGUCAGUAUCCUAGUGGCUGCAUUUUGAGCUCCUUGAAGUUUCCAAGUGUUCUUCUAAGGAACUCAUAAGUAACUUACUCCCAGCAGCAAGAAACAUCGUAACUAGAUACUGGAAGAACCUAUCAGAAGUGAACACAGGCUACUGGUACCAAAAUGUAUGGGAAACCGCCCUAGACUAGGAAAGUUAACCAACAAACUUAAAUUAGCACGGGGACAAGCAAAGGAAAACCCCUUCAUCCCGGUGUGGUUCCCCUUUAUCACAAACACAGCACAACACAACAGGACAAUGACCUAUCCCCCCUCCACAGUAUACAAAUCAAUAUGGCUAACCUGAGUCAACAACCUUCCCCCUCUAACACACACACACAUACAGACAAGCCACACUCCAAUCAACUGAAUGCAACAAACCAAGCUCUGGAUCCCCUAAUCUUUCAUAAUGUGUGUGUGUGUGUGUGUGUGUGUGUGUGUGUGUGUGUAACAAAGGAUCUACCCAUGUGAUGCUAACACAAAUCAGUACAGUAACACUCUGCAACAAAAGAACAAUACCCCCACCUCUCUCCCUUCCAUCAACUGCAAGAUGCCUAUGACAAAAGUGUCUGUCACUACAUGUAAACAAACUGUGAAAAAGACUCUAUGAAUUGAAAGUGGAGACAAUAGAUGUGCUUUUCCCUGUUUAUUUUUUUC